rnacentral:rRNA from 1 species
AUGAUGACCCCCGCGUCGUCUCCCGCAGGCGACUCGGGGGCGAUUAGGUUUUCCCCCGAGCGCCGCCACCCUCGUCUGCCUCCCCUCGCCGCCGUCGCCGGCGGCCUCCGGCCGGCCCGCGGCGGCGGCGGGACCCCUUCCACCUCCUCCUCCGUCCAUCCCCGCGUUGGCCCCCCUCCCUGCUCGCCCACCUCGUCCUCGGCGGCGCGAGGCUGUGUGGAGAUCGCCGCGUCCUGGUGGUUUCCCCGCGGGCUGGGGCCGUGCCUCUUGCCGCCGGCCGGCCUGGGGAGCAGGCCUGGCCGUUGCUGGCUGCCCCGCCCGAUGGGCUGCUUCCUCUUUGGAGCGGCCAGAUCUGGAUCAUGGUGUUGGGGUGCUUGGAGGGGGUCGGUCUGGGAUGGGGCCUCGGAGUGGUGCUCGUUGCGGUGGCUGGAGCGGCUGGCUUCGCGUGAGCUGCUCGUCUCUUCGGAGAUGGGUGAGCGUGGCUCUUUGGAUCUGGGGCGGCGGCCCUUCCGGCGAGAUUCCAUUGGCUUGACCAGUGCUCGUUGGUGCUGGCCGUUCUUCCUCGGCCGCGGGGGCGGCAAGGCGGCGGCAGGUGGCAGCUGUGGUGCAGGCGUCUCUGCGGCGCCCGAUCCAGAUCUGAAGGCCUCCGUCUACUUCAACCAGGGCUGCCUUCGAUGGUCCUGCUUUGAGCGGCCUUUGUCGUCGGAGUUGUACCUGUUUGGCGGCUGGAGGUGGGAGUUGGCUCCGAAGAAAUCCGAGGCCAGCAGUGCUGGUCACGAUGGCGGCGACGCCCGAGGGCACCGUACCCUUCUUGUAGGCGCCGUCCAGGUUGCCUCCUUCCCCUUUUCCUUGCACCCAGCUCGUAUGCCGGGCGAAAGCCCAAAUCCUUGCCGGAUCGAGCGACAGCGGCGCUCCGGGCGUCGUCACCUUCUUGGGGGUGUCGUUCGUGGUGACUUUGGGGUGGAUGUGAUGCUUUGGUUGCUUGGCGGCGGAUUGGUCUUCAACAGCCCUGCCGGUCUCGGCGGAGCGGUGCUUCAUCCUACUCAUUGA